AUGGCGGCGUUCACGGAGGAGGAGAGGGCGGUGGACGACGCGCUGGGCUACCCCAAGGCCUACGCCAGGCUCUGCCGCGCCGCCGGCAGCGGCGGCGGCGCGCUCGGCCUGCCCUACGCCCACGGCCCGCCCGGCGCCUUCCUCCCCUACGUCCUCCAGCCCCACGAGGUACGUACCUGCCUGCCUUCUCUCCCGCAGAUCCCGCUCGCCCUUCUCUCCUCCCCGCUUCCACGCCGCGUCGUGUGUCAUGAUCUGAUCUGCUGCGUGCAGGCGCUGCGGGCCAAGGACCUGAACGAGACGUUCCCGGUGGUGGACGCGGAGGCGGCGCCCACCGCCAACCCGCGCGGCUUCGCCAACCUGCUCUGGAAGCAGCUCCACCACCUCGGCAACGCCGGCUUCGACCCGGCGCUCUUCCGCGUCGACGCAUACGGGAACGUCCUCUACCUCCACGCCGACGCCGCCUCGCCCCUCGCCUGGGACGUCCACCACUGGUUCCCCUGCGCCAGGGGAGGGAGGACGGUUCCGAGCAACCUGCGGAUCAUGCAGCUGCAGGCGUCCAGGAAGAAGCACAACAAGCUCGAGUUCCUCGUCCCGUGGUGGGAUCUGCAGCUCGGAAUUUCCGUCAACCAGUUCCUCUCCAUCUUCGCCUCCAAGAACACCGACUUCAGGAACAGAGCAUUCGCGUUCCUCUUCGCCGAUGGGGCCAACGAGGAGCUGAGCUCGCUGCAGGCGGUGGAGGCGCACGCGUUCCCGCACCAUUUCGCCGACAUGAAGAAGAAACUAGGCCUCGCGCCUGCCGCCAUUGUCUCCGCCAGGGGCUCCGACAACUCGGUGCUCAAAUCCAUUGACGCCAACAGACCAGUGAGGUCCAAUUACCCUUUGAUCGCUGCAAAGAAGUUCUCCGGCGAAAAGGACGAGAACAUGGCGGCAGCCCACGGCCAUGGUGGUAACUCGAUGAUGAAAGAGAACAACAACCCAGAUGUCGACGGCUACAUCAGCAAUCCUUACUUGUCCAUAGCCAUGGCUAGGGACUCGCUGAGGCAGAGGGAAGAGGCGAAGAAGAAGCAAGCUGAGCUCACUGAACUGGAGAAGGAGGCGGCGGAGAUGCAGCAGAAGAAUGAGGAGGAGAGGGUAGCCAUCCAGGACCUGGAGGCCCAACUGAUCAAGAGGCGUCGGCGGGUAGAGAAGUGCCGUCGCUUGGCAGACGCCCAGGCCAACUACAAGACAGUGCUCGAGAAGAUGAUCAGAGACGCCAUGCACCAGAGUGUUGUGUACAAGGAACAGCUCAGGCUGAACCAGACUGCAACCAGUACUCUGAUGGCGAGACUGGAGGCCCAGAGAGCAAUGUGUGACUCAUCUGAAACCGAGCUCCGCAAGAAGUACCAGCACAGAGAUGAUCUGGAGAGGCAGGUGAAGCCAUUCAUUGAUCAAGCAAGGAAGAGGUACCGGGUCGACGAUGAAAUCCCAGAGGAAAGGCACUGUGAGAGUUUCAGGUACUUGCCAGAAAGAGUAUCGAGGAGCAGCCCUCUGAAACAGGAACUGAGGGUUUUCUUGGAGGAGGCUCAGAGGACUUCAGAUGCAUACAACAUUUCCCUGGAGGGGGGAGAGAUUGGAGAAGGGACUUCAACAAUGAGUUAUGUCAACACUGAACAACCUUCCAAGGUCAUAAGCUUCCCAAGAAGGUCCAUCUCCACCGAUGAAAACAUGAGUUACACUGAAAGAGGAAGAGCGUCAGUAAGGGAAAAACUAGAACAAUCGGCGAUCAGAGAGCGGCGUCAUAGCAGGGGAAGGGAAAGAAAGGAGAGCAUGGUCUCAAGGGGUGUUGGUACACCUAUCAAGUCAAGAGAUGGUAAGGGCAAGGCAGCCAUGCUUGAGUCCGAGACCGAAAGAUCUCAUCAUGCAAGCCAGACAGUCUCAUUUCCAAGGACCCCCUCGGUUCCACCAAGUCCUCCAUAUAGAGCAACCGGCGUGUACGGGACGCCGAGGUACCACACAGAGCAGUCACUACCAGUGCAAAAGGAUGAUGAAAUGCUUCAUCCUCGACGUGUUGCCAGAGCAGAAGACAAUGAAAACAUGAACUACAGAGGCAAGGGACAUGUUGAUAAGUGGCUUCAUAUGCUCAUGGAGGACCAACAAGAAGAAGGAAAUGAAGUGGCAUACCGUUCCUCGGAAGAUCACAAUGCCGCCGAGGAGAACGGUUCGGAUGAUGAGCAGGAAAUCCAAAGUAGAAUCGGUGACGAAGACGAGAGCUGCAGGAAUGAGAUCACUGAAUGUGUUGAUGAGAUCACUGAAUGUGUUGACGCGAUCGUCGACGUUGGUGGUGAGGAUGCUGCUACUCACCAUGGCACCCCAAGAUGCAGGGAUAGCUUUGACAUCAAGGAGGAGAAAGUGGAAAGGAAGAUCUGGUUCCCGAGGUCGGACAGCGGUAGGGGUUUCCGGUCCCUCCCAUCCUCUCCUUCCAAGAUCCUGGGAAUGAGAAGAGGCUCAGACUGUGCAGGCAGGAAACCUAAGGUGGGUGGCGACGAUGAUCGUAGAUACGGCUAUGAGGAUUUGGUUUCUACGAGCAGCAGCAAGUUCCUCAGCAAAUGCAAGCAGGCGAUCAAGAAAGCGGUACACAAAUGA
rnacentral:rRNA from 1 species